GUUCUGGACAUAUGUAGAGAAAUCCUUCACAUGGACAGAUCUUCCUUCAAAAUUUCCCACAAAAUAGUUCAGUUUCCUGUCUUCAUAGCUUCAGUUCAUUCAAACUAUGUUGACUGAACCAAUGGCUUGGUAUUUUGUUCUGUCAAAGGGAACGGCUGACAUCCUUCAAAAAUACCCUGUUCCUGAGUGUGAUAUCUGGUUCAUCAAGUUUUCCUGUGACUUCCAUUACAAUGCAGCUGCAAUAG